GGACCUGUAGCUCAGCGGAAGAAGAGCGCAAGCCUGCGGAGCUUGAGGCCGCACGUUCAAGUCGUGCCAGGUCCA
rnacentral:tRNA from 1 species